CGCGGGUGCUAUAGGCAAGUCAUGCACUGCUGAGUGCGCAAGUGCCGGCUCUGUUUGACUUUCAGUGCCAGGAGGCUCCAGAUCACAAGAAUGGAAACAACCAAAAUUGAACUUGACUAAAAUUAUGAAUGCUACUCAGCAAAUAAGCAAUAUCAGAGAAGAACAGAACAGCAUCGUCUAUACAAAAGUUACACCUUUUUUGGAGGACAGUGAAUCAAUGAGUGAUGAAGAAGAUUCCUUUCCUAAGUCUUCAUCCCAAGCCCAGGACUGCUCUCCUAUCCUUCCUUUCCACCCCCCACCUGCUUACUUUUCAAAAUCUUCCCUUAUAAAGUCUACUCUUCUGGACAUUCUUAAUGUGAUUUUAUUUGCUAUGGUUCUUAUCAUUCUUGAUACCCUCUGUCCUUUUCUCCUAUGCUUACAGCCACUUCAUGGAAAUGUGAAGGAUUCUGGAAAUGGAACUCCUCAAAAGUAACAUCACAAGAAAAUUCAGGGAAUUUUAUAUAUUGAAGAUAAACAUUGAUGAAUCAGACAAUACAUGACAGCACAAUACAACUCUCAGAAAGAAGAACAAUUAGAAAGCAGGCAAGAUGAAUGACAUUUAAAAGAUUGCAAAAAUAAUGUGGCAGAGGAAGAAAAAAGUGAUGAAGAGGAAGAAAGAGAAAGGGAGAAAAGAUGGUUAGGAUGUUAUAAAACAGAGAGAAAUGAGAAUAUGUUAAUACAAAGGAUGAAGAAGAAAGUCAAAAUGAAGAUUUUGAAAAUAUGAAGUGUAAUGGGCUGAGGCUUGAGUUGAUGCACUGAGGUCCCAAACACAUGAGGCUAAAUAGUAAUUGGACCAUACUCUAUUAAUAUAUAAGCUUGGAGAAAGAAUGGCCCCCACCCACUCUUUGUGCACGUGCUGAUGUGUUGUAUAGGAAAUGAAGAUUUUUGUGGGUGGAGGCAGGGGAGUGGAAAAGGAAGGGGAGGAGAGACUGCUUGCUUUUGUCAUUGUGACAACCUUUCAAUUCAGAUCCCUCUCUGUUAGCUGGCUUCCUGUCGCAGCUGCCCAUAUUGCUAUCACAAUCUUUCUUGCCCAUAUUGCUAUCACAAUCCUUAUUCACCUCUUCACUUCAGUAAAGAUUGAAGAUUUUCCCCUUAACCUGAAUUCCUGACUCCAGCUGAUUUUAAAUACGCUGUCAUUACAAUUGGCGCUCAAGCAUGGGAACCAAGGACCCUAUUUUCACUGAAGAAGUCUCCAGUGACCAGGAACUUAGGACUGGAAAAAGAAAAUACAGCGUACCCUUGGAAUUCAGAGGUUAAUAAACACUGAAAUAGUAGCUGUUACAUACCAGGCAGUGUGCAAGAGAUGGAAAGAUUAAAAGCAAAAGAUCUAUACAACAUGUAACAUAAAAGGAAACCAUUACAUUGGAGGUUGGAGGAAUCUACCUAUUUCUGCAACAUAGUGGAAAAGUCAAAGAAGUCCCAAAGUGAGAAAUGAGAUGUCAAAUUCAUGGCUCUUCCCUUCAGUCAGAGGAUAUUUAUCUUUUCUUCUAGAUUAUUAAAAUUUGAGAAUAAGAA